rnacentral:rRNA from 1 species
AUUGAACGCUGGCGGCAUGCCUUACACAUGCAAGUCGAACGGUAACAGGUCUUCGGAUGCUGACGAGUGGCGAACGGGUGAGUAAUACAUCGGAACGUGCCCGAUCGUGGGGGAUAACUACUCGAAAGAGUAGCUAAUACCGCAUACGAUCUACGGAUGAAAGCGGGGGAUCUUCGGACCUCGUGCGGACGGAGCGGCCGAUGGCAGAUUAGGUAGUUGGUGGGAUAAAAGCUUACCAAGCCGACGAUCUGUAGCUGGUCUGAGAGGACGACCAGCCACACUGGGACUGAGACACGGCCCAGACUCCUACGGGAGGCAGCAGUGGGGAAUUGUGGACAAUGGGCGAAAGCCUGAUCCAGCAAUGCCGCGUGCAGGAUGAAGGCCUUCGGGUUGUAAACUGCUUUUGUACGGAACGAAAAGACUCCUUCUAAUACAGGGGGUCCAUGACGGUACCGUAAGAAUAAGCACCGGCUAACUACGUGCCAGCCGCCGCCGUAACAC